CGAACGAUUAAGACUCUCGUUCGGAGAGUGUAUAAAGUGGCGCACGGUGAGUAACACGUAGGUAAUGUACCGAAAGGGUGGGGAAUAACUUAGGGAAACUUAAAGCUAAUUACCGCAUAAUGCAGCGGCUCGACAUCGAGACAGUUGUUAAAGGAGCAAUCCGCCUUUUGAGCAGCCUGCGGCAGAUUAGCUAGUUGGUAAGGUAAUGGCUUACCAAGGCUACGAUCUGUAACCGACCUGAGAGGGUGGUCGGUCACACUGACACUGAAUAACGGGUCAGACUCCUACGGGAGGCAGCAGUCGGGAAUUUUGGGCAAUGGGCGAAAGCCUGACCCAGCAACGCCGCGUGAAGGAUGAAGUAUUUCGGUAUGUAAACUUCGUAAGAAUAGGAAGAAUAAAUGACGGUACUAUUUGUAAGGUCCGGCUAACUACGUG
rnacentral:rRNA from 1 species